CUCAAACAGUAUAUAUACAAAUUUAAAGGGAGAACUCGCCUUAGCUGGAUAUAGGCUACAGCAGUUAAAUAACACAACAGACAGCUCUCUUUUAAAGCAUACUUUUAAGAGGGAUGUUUCAAGUGAUAGGCCAGAUCAGUGCUUUUCCCCCUUUACCCCCUCCCCCCCACCCCUCCGCGCCUGAAUCCAGCCGAUGCCAGCGCUCUUCGUCUUUCAACUGUAAUUUUCCGGGGAUUUUUACUGUCAGUGUUUUCAAGGAAGCUUGAAAAAAAAUGCCCUUACAAACCCAAUAACCAGAAGAGAGGCAGAAAAAGCAGUGUCAAAGUGUCUAAUCAGUGCCAGGGACGGGAGGAAAUCGUACUGCAAGGGCACGUGUUGGAGAGCAAGAUAGGGCCGUUGGGAGAGCGAGGAGUGAGGAGCUGCGCUAAUGUUGUUUUGUUUGUGAAAACCUUUAUUUUAGAGAUUUCAGAUAUGCAUAUAAAAACAAUACAAGUUUUACCAAAUAAAGUUUUUCAGGAGUUUUAAAGGGCUAGUUCACCCAAAAAUUAAAAUUCUGUCAUUAAUAUCUCACCCAUACGUUGUUCCAAACCCGCAAGACCUUUGUUCACCUUCGGAACACAAAUUAAGAUAUUUUUGAUGAAAUCUGAGAGCUCUCUGACCACACAUAGACAGCAAUUUACCUAACAUUUUCAAAUCCUAGAACGUUAGUAAAAGCAUCCUUAAAAUAGUCCAUGUGACUACAGUGGUCAGAGAGCUCUCUGAUUUCAUCAAAACUAUCUUAAUUUGUGUUCUGAAGUUGAACGAAGGUCUUACGAGUUUGGAACAACAUGAGGGUGAGUAAUUAAUGACAGAAAUUUUAUUUUGGGGUGAACUAACCCUUUAAAGGUUUAACUUUUUUUUUCUUUCUUUAGAUAGU
ensembl:lncRNA